GAGCGAAUCUUUGGGAGCUUGCUCCCGUUGGUUAGCGGCGGACGGGUGAGUAACACGUGGGCAACCUGCCUGUAAGACUGGGAUAACUUCGGGAAACCGGAGCUAAUACCGGAUAAUUCUUUUCCUCUCAUGAGGAAAAGCUGAAAGACGGUUUCGGCUGUCACUUACAGAUGGGCCCGCGGCGCAUUAGCUAGUUGGUGAGGUAACGGCUCACCAAGGCGACGAUGCGUAGCCGACCUGAGAGGGUGAUCGGCCACACUGGGACUGAGACACGGCCCAGACUCCUACGGGAGGCAGCAGUAGGGAAUCUUCCACAAUGGACGAAAGUCUGAUGGAGCAACGCCGCGUGAGCGAUGAAGGCCUUCGGGUCGUAAAGCUCUGUUGUUAGGGAAGAACAAGUACCGGAGUAACUGCCGGUACCUUGACGGUACCUAACCAGAAAGCCACGGCUAACUACGUGCCAGCAGCCGCGGUAAUACGUAGGUGGCAAGCGUUGUCCGGAAUUAUUGGGCGUAAAGCGCGCGCAGGCGGUCCUUUAAGUCUGAUGUGAAAGCCCACGGCUCAACCGUGGAGGGUCAUUGGAAACUGGGGGACUUGAGUGCAGAAGAGGAAAGCGGAAUUCCACGUGUAGCGGUGAAAU
rnacentral:rRNA from 1 species